UUUAUAAAUUCAUUCGUACACCGUACCUAUCAUUCUUAAGUCUUACGUUUACCGAACAGCAAUGCGGUUUCAUUUGUUGGCGUUUAUCUAAUUUGUACACGUCACUCGAUCACAAUGGAAUCACAAAAAAAUCGUUUGUUGGUACGUUUGUUGUUUGUCGUGGCGCUGACCGUCCAAUCAAGUUGUUCGGAGUCCGUCGAAGAUGUCGACGUGUGCGCCAACCGAACGGCGUCGCUGGUCGGAGAUACCAUGUGUUCAUUAAACAACGUGCCGUUUGUGUGGGCGCCGGAAUACGAAGUGGCCAUAGUGUACAUUACUUCCACGUGGUCCGAAAUCGCCACUUUCAACAGUUCCGCAGAGGACACCAUUGCCAAGGAAGCGUUCCUUUCCUAUUGCGUUAGAUUCAAAAACAACAUGUUUAACUUUAUGAAAAAAUUCAACUCCAACGAAAACGAAAAAGUAAAAAAAGCCGUCUUUGAGUGGUAUCAACAUGUUAACAGUGUUUCGCAGAAUGACUGGUACAUUACACCGGACGUGUCGACUUUACGGCACUUUGGAGAGCAUUUUAAAAUUUCUUUCAAGGGAGUAGUCCUCGAGAGCAGUAACAUCUUUAAUUCAGCGUCCUUUGUAAAAACCAAGCGAUACGUGGACAAGUUUACAAGCGGGAUCGUUUACACGAUGGUCGAAGCGCUGAAAACGAUUUCGAAAGAAAUCCGUGAUAUUCCAAAAAUCGAAACACCGCAGACAUAAACAAUUCGAAUAGUACUUAACCUUGUGAUAUUUGAAUAUUGUUUUGUUAAUAAAAUGGAAAUUAUCACUUAAGAGCAUAGGCUUGUCAUUUGAAAAAAUAUUUGUACUUUAUGUUAAACAGAUAAUGCACUUAUUUUGUCAUUUAAAGCUGAUUCUUCAACCAAUGUCUAAUAACUUGUUUUAGUUAAUGACGACCAAAACGGGUCAGACGAAACAAAAAAAGACGUAACUAGUUGGUACAAACACAUUGAAUACUUGGCGAGCAAUGGACCGGUGGACCAAGACUUGAGAAGUUUUCAAAAUACAUUUCAAAACGCAUUCAAACAUCUCGUCAUAAAAGCUAGUCAAGUUGUGGGCAAAACAAACAACAACGAAAC